rnacentral:rRNA from 1 species
AGAGUUUGAUCCUGGCUCAGGAUGAACGCUGGCGGUCUGCUUAACACAUGCAAGUCGAACGGAGUACUUCGGUACUUAGUGGCGGACGGGUGAGUAACGCGUGAGGAUCUGCCCUCAGGAGGGGGACAACGACUGGAAACGGUCGCUAAUACCCCAUAUGCCGAGAGGUGAAAUGUUUUUUCGCCUGAGGAUGAGCUCGCGUCAGAUUAGCUAGUUGGUGGGGUAACGGCCUACCAAGGCGACGAUCUGUAGCUGGUCUGAGAGGAUGAUCAGCCACACUGGGACUGAGACACGGCCCAGACUCCUACGGGAGGCAGCAGUGGGGAAUUUUCCGCAAUGGGCGAAAGCCUGACGGAGCAAGACCGCGUGAGGGAUGACGGCCUAAUGGUUGUAAACCUCUUUUCUCUGGGAAGAUAAUGACGGUACCAGAGGAAUAAGCCUCGGCUAACUCCGUGCCAGCAGCCGCGGUAAUACGGAGGAGGCAAGCGUUAUCCGGAAUUAUUGGGCGUAAAGCGUCCGUAGGUGGUUAAUCAAGUCAGCUGUUAAAGAGCGGAGCUCAACUCCGUUAGAGCGGUUGAAACUGAUUGACUAGAGUUUGGUAGGGGUCGAGGGAAUUCCCAGUGUAGCGGUGAAAUGCGUAGAUAUUGGGAAGAACACCGGUGGCGAAAGCGCUCGACUGGGCCUGAACUGACACUGAGGGACGAAAGCUAGGGGAGCGAAAGGGAUUAGAUACCCCUGUAGUCCUAGCCGUAAACGAUGAACUACUUCUUAAAUCAACCGUG